rnacentral:rRNA from 1 species
CCUACGGGAGGCAGCAGUCGGGAAUAUUGCACAAUGGAGGAAACUCUGAUGCAGCGACGCCGCGUGCAGGAAGAAGGCUUUCGGAUUGUAAACUGCUUUAGACAGGGAAGAAACAAGACAGUACCUGUAGAAUAAGCUCCGGCUAACUACGUGCCAGCAGCCGCGGUACUACGUAGGGAGCAAGCGUUAUCCGGAUUUAGUGGGUGUAACGGGUGCGUAGACGGGAAGUUAAGGUAGUUGUGAAAUCUCUCGGCUUAACUUAGGAACUGCAACUGAAACUGAAUUUCUUGAGUGCGGGAGAGGAAAGUGGAAUUCCUAGUGUAGCGGUGAAAUGCGUAGAUAUUAGGAGGAACCCCAGUGGCGAAGGCGACUUUCUGGACCGUAACUGACGUUGAGGCACGAAAGUGUGGGGAGCAAACAGGAUUAGAUACCCGGGUAGUC